CCCGCUGAAUUGAAGCAGAUUACUGAGUGGAGGAAAAGAAACUAACCAGGAUUCCCUCAGUAGUGGCGAGUGAAGAGGGA
rnacentral:ncRNA from 1 species